rnacentral:rRNA from 1 species
ACGGAAGGCAGCAGUGGGGAAUAUUGCACAAUGGGGGAAACCCUGAUGCAGCAACGCCACGUGUGGGAAGAAGCAUUUCGGUGUGUAAACCACUGUCGUGAGGGAAUAAUGCUUGGUCUCGGCCAAGUUGGAUGUACCUCGAAAGGAAGCACCGGCAAACUUCGUGCCAGCAGCCGCGGUAAUACGAGGGGUGCAAGCGUUGUUCGGAAUCACUGGGCGUAAAGGGAGCGCAGGCGGAGAUGCAAGCAGUCUGUACAAUACCGGGGCCCAACCCCGGACCUGCAGACUGGACUGUUUCUCUUGGAUAGUUCAGGGGCAAGCGGAAUUCCUGGUGUAGCGGUGGAAUGCGUAGAGAUCAGGAAGAACACCGAUGGCGAAGGCAGCUUGCUGGGGACUUAUCGACGCUGAGGCUCGAAAGUGCGGGUAGCAAACAGGAUUAGAUACCCUGGUA